AAAAAAGAGCCGCACAAUUGUCAAGAACAAAUUGAAGAAGCGCUUCAGAUUGGAAAGGUUCAGAGGCAUGAGGAAAGAAAAUGCAUUGGAGAAGUAGUUUGCUUGACUUCGAUUCUUCGGUGGAGCAAGUGUACAUCGACUUCGACUCGCCCUCAGCUCUAGCCAGUUUCCAGAACAUCAGAUUUUAGGG